rnacentral:rRNA from 1 species
UACAGAGGUCCCAAGCGUUGUUCGGAUUCACUGGGCGUAAAGGGUGCGUAGGCGGUCGGGUAAGUCUGAUGUGAAAUCUCACAGCUUAACUGUGAAACUGCAUUGGAUACUAUCCGGCUCGAGGAAUGGAGGGGAGACUGGAAUACUUGGUGUAGCAGUGAAAUGCGUAGAUAUUGGGAAGAACACCGGUGGCGAAGGCGGCGACCUGGUCCGACACUGACGCUGAGGCGCGAAAGCGUGGGGAGCAAACAGG